rnacentral:rRNA from 1 species
UACGCAGGGUGCAAGCGUUAAUCGGAAUUACUGGGCGUAAAGCGUGCGCAGGCGGUUUUGUAAGUCAGAUGUGAAAUCCCCGGGCUUAACCUGGGAACUGCGUUUGAAACUACAAGGCUAGAGUGUGACAGAGGGGGGUGGAAUUCCACGUGUAGCAGUGAAAUGCGUAGAGAUGUGGAGGAACACCGAUGGCGAAGGCAGCCCCCUGGGUUAACACUGACGCUCAGGCACGAAAGCGUGGGGAGCAAACAGG